rnacentral:rRNA from 1 species
UCCGUAGGGUGCAAGCGUUGUCCGGAAUUAUUGGGCGUAAAGAGCUCGUAGGCGGUUUGUCGCGUCUGCUGUGAAAACUGGGGGCUCAACCCCCAGCCUGCAGUGGGUACGGGCAGACUAGAGUGCGGUAGGGGAGAUUGGAAUUCCUGGUGUAGCGGUGGAAUGCGCAGAUAUCAGGAGGAACACCGAUGGCGAAGGCAGAUCUCUGGGCCGUAACUGACGCUGAGGAGCGAAAGCAUGGGGAGCGAACAGG